rfam:Oryza meridionalis cultivar OR44 (W2112) chromosome 4, whole genome shotgun sequence.
AUAAAGAGAAACCCUGGGUUUUCGUGUCCAACGUUUAACCGUCCGUCUUAUUUAAAAAAAUUAAAAUGACAAGUCACGUAAAGUAUUAAUCAUAUUUUAUCAAAUUCCAUAUAAGAUGGACAGUUAAACGUUGGGCACGGAAAUUCAGGGUUUGUUUUUUU